GUUAGAAUAAGGAGGUGUGUCACUGAAGAAACACGUGCAAAGAAACACAUAAAAGUUAAUGUCCCACUGAAAGUAGAGGAAAUGAGUUUCAGAUGCUGAGCCUCCUUCAUGCGUCAGCAGUGAGAAGAAUAGUUAGAGCUACAACGAAGGGCCUUGAUGAGCAUCGCUUCACUCCUAGAAGGCACAUGAUAAUCUGAAAAACCUCAACUUAUAGAAAAAAAAUUCUGUCAGGAGGCCAGCCA
rnacentral:lncRNA from 1 species